rnacentral:ncRNA from 2 species
AGGGCUGGAAGAGGUGCGUUAUUCAGGUAGCUGUGUCGAGGAGAGCAAACUCCCAUGACACACAGUGAGGGGAACUAACGCCGAGAAGUUAAUUGUUUUGCUAGCGAUUAAUUUCGGGCGACUGGGCUGAAUCCCAGCGACUGUCACCAAUUGUUUUGCGUUACAGCAAAAUAAAUAUGUUUGGUGGAGAGCUUCUGGUCUU